UGCCUACUGGCCCAUCAGGGGGUUGCGUGCGCAGCCUCCUCUGUUUCCGCCCUGAGAGCGGGCUCUUCUGAGUCGGGGAGAAUUGGGCAUCGUCACGUGCUCUGUCUGCGCCCCGAGUGGCCUCUUCUCCUCCUCCACAGACACCUCGGGGAGGGGUCAUCCUUCAGACACGCUGAGCCUAGGCUGCCCGCCCUUCCGCAGCCCCGCCCUGGCCGGCUCCUCGCGGCCCACUAGGCCGGUUCUUCCCCACGUCAGGACCCCGCCACCCCACUCUGCCCCUCCACCCGAGGCUGCCUUAUCCUUUUGCUUUCUCUCUUAAAUCUGCUGCCCGUUACUGCUAUUCUACCCUUUGGUUUGAAUGGGGAGGCACUGGCCUCGGAGCUCCUUGCUGCUGACAUCAGUUGUGCCCUUGUAGGAGACGUCCUGGUCCUGUCUGCCUCAGAGGCUUCCAUCUGCGGAUUUCCUGAGGUCGUCCCCUUACUCCUCUGCUGCAGUCUCUCUCAACAUUUCAACUGUCUGCUCCAGAAAGUUACUCUGUCACUAAGUAAAAUAAAUACAAACAAAAUAAGCAA
rnacentral:lncRNA from 1 species